GGCACAUGUGUCCUAGAUUUUCGCUUUUGGGUACAAAGGUCUUUGACAAAUUUGGCAUAGGAGGGAACUUGUCUAAUAGCAUCAAGAAGCGGGAGGUUGAUUUUGACUUGUUUGAAAACCUCCAUCAUCUCCUCUAGUGAAGUUCCUUUCUUGCCAAAGGGAGUGGGUGCAUUAAGUGCUUCAGGAAAUGGGGCCUUUGGAAUGUGAGUUUUGGCAGAAGGUGGACUAGCUGAAGAAGAAGAAGAAGGUUUUAGAUUUUCAUUUGACACAUUUCUAUCCUCUUCUUUACCUUCCUUAUUGUUACCCUCCC
rnacentral:lncRNA from 1 species